CACAGUACGUGAACCGUUCAGGGGUAAACGGGAGAGAUCCGAAAUGACGAAAUGGGGGAGACUCAAUCACGUCCGCGCGUCCGGUGCCGUUUUCGGUCCCCAAGGAUGCUGCCGGCCGCCGGCCGCGUCGCAAGGCGCGAGCCGGGUCGGAGUCGGUGGCACCGGGGCCGGAGGUCUGGCCGCGGCGUGGUGCAUUUCUCCCUCCGAGUAGUACGUCGCGACCCGUUGGGCAAGUCCGGCCUAAGGCCCGGGUUGAGACCGAGGGGAUACGCCGCGCAUUCGCGCGGGUCAAACGUUCCCCCGGACCCUGGAUGUCCUGGCCGGCGCCCGACGGUAUGUCUUAGGGAGAUGGCCCGCUUCCGCUCUCGCGGAGCGUAUGCGUCUGGCCCGGCUGGCAAGCUCGACGUUUGGCGGCUCGAGGUGCCGUGGCUUCCGCCACGUCCCCGGCCCUCGUCGGCUGCUGGUUGCCGGAGUCCUCGGACGGAGCCGACUCCCGUCAGCGGCGCUUAUGCUUCGGAUGCUUUCCCGACCCGUCUUGAAACACGGACAAAA
rnacentral:rRNA from 1 species